rnacentral:lncRNA from 1 species
AUUAUGGUGUUAUGGAUCACCUCAAUCAAGUUUGGCACUCAGAGAUGACAGGUCAUCAUUGUCCACUAAAAGGAAAAGGAGACCUUGGAAAUCAGUGAUAAAACACGGAAAUCAACUGCCCUUAGAUCAGGAGUCGGAAGACGAGCAGAGAGUGGGAGUAGCGAUAGUGGUGGAGGAGUGAACCCGGAGCAGGU